UACGAAGGGGGCUAGCGUUGCUCGGAAUUACUGGGCGUAAAGGGCGCGUAGGCGGACAUUUAAGUUAGAGGUGAAAGCCCAGGGCUCAACCCUGGAAUAGCCUUUAAUACUGGAUGUCUUGAGUUCGGGAGAGGUGAGUGGAAUGCCGAGUGUAGAGGUGAAAUUCGUAGAUAUUCGGCGGAACACCAGUGGCGAAGGCGACGCACUGGCCCGAUACUGACGCUGAGGCGCGAAAGCGGGGGGAGCAAACAGG
rnacentral:rRNA from 1 species